GUUUAUGUAAGAGCGCAUAGUGGAUGCCUUGACUCUGAAUUCCGAUGAAGGACGUGGUAAGCUGCGAUAAGCCUCGACGAGUUGCUAACAGACUUUGACUCGAGGAUCUCCGAAUGGGGCAACCCAUCUCACUAUAAGUGAGAAAUUCAUCACUAAAUACAUAGGUGGUGAAAGGUAACUUGGGGAACUGAAACAUCUAAGUACCCAAGGAAAAGAAAUCAAAUGAGAUUCCCUUAGUAGUGGCGAGCGAAAGGGGAAUAGCCCAAACCAGUCUUUAAGACUGGGGUUGUAGGACUCCAAUGUCUGUGUAUUUUUCAUAAUUGAACAAGUUGGAAAGCUUGGCAGUAUAGGGUGAUAGCCCCGUAAAUGAAAUGAUUAAUACAUGGUAGGAGUAUCCUGAGUAGGGUCGGACACGUGAAAUCCGGCUUGAAGCUGGGAGGACCACCUUCCAAGGCUAAAUAGAUUCAGAGAUCGAUAGUGAACUAGUACCGUGAGGGAAAGGUGAAAAGCACCCCGGGAGGGGGAUGAAAUAGUACCUGAAACUAUGCGCUUAUAAGGAGUAGGAGCUCGAUUUAUCGAGUGACUGCAUACUUUUUGUAGAACGGGCCAACGAGUUAGCUGUGUGAGGUUUGGUUAAGGGAGUUUACCCGGAGCCGUAGCGAAAGCGAGUCUUAAUAGGGCGAUUUAUAAUCUCAUGCACUAGACCCGAAACUGGGUGAGCUAUCCAUGGGCAGGUUGAAGUUCCAUUAAUUUGGAAUGGAGGACCGAACCGGGGAGUGCUGAAAGACUCUCGGAUGACUUGUGGAUAGAGGAGAAAUUCCAAUCGAACUCAGAGAUAGCUGGUUCUCUCCGAAAUAGCUUUAGGGCUAGCCUCAUGUUUGAAAGCUGAGGGGGUAGAGCUCUGUUUGGGCUAGGGGGCGAAAUAAGUCUACCAAACCCAGAUAAACUUCGAAUACCUCAGUGGGAUUCAUGGGAGUCAGACUGCGACAGCUAAGUGCCGUAGUCAAAAGGGAAACAGCCCAGACCGUUGUCUAAGGUCCCUAAUAUAGAUUAAGUGGUAAAGGAUGUGAGAUUGCAGAUACAACCAGGAUGUUGGCUUAGAAGCAGCCAUUCAUUUAAAGAGUGCGUAAUAGCUCACUGGUCCAUGCGAUCUUGCGCCGAAAAUCCAACGGGGCUAAAUCUAUAACCGAAGACGCGGAUUGUAUUUAUACAAUGGUAGGAGAGCGUUCCUGUCAGCGUUGAAGUCAGACUGGAAAGUCUGGUGGAGCGGCAGGAAGUGAGAAUGUUGGCAUAAGUAAUGAUAUCAGGGUAAAAACCCCUGACACCGAAUAUCCAAGGGUUCCCACGCAACGUCAGUCGACGUGGGGUUAGUCGGUCCUAAGGCGAGGCCGAGAGGCGUAGUCGAUGGAUAACAGGUUAAUAUUCCUGUACAUAGUGAGUUCCGCCCAAGCAAAACUGGAUCAAUCUUUUUUCAAAGUCGCGACUUGUCGUGAUGGAGAACUGAGAAAGUGAAUGUGGCGCUAACUAAGGGGGGACGCAGAUGGCUUGUAGGAGCGUCUUAUUGACUUGACGUUCAAGCAUUUAGCUUAAGUCUCUUCAGGCAAAUCCGUUGAGAUUCGCGAGAUGUUAUGAAAAUGACCCGUAAGGGUUAGAUUCCUAGGCGUCAUCUGCCAAGAAAAUCCUCGUAGUGAGGAAUUUACUAUUCCGUACCGCAAACCGACACAGGUGGAUGGGUUGAGUAUACUAAGGUGCACGAGAUAACUAAGCUUAAGGAACUCGGCAAAACAGCGGCCGUAACUUCGGGAUAAGGCCUCCCUGCAUACUUGAUUUAUUAAGAACGUGUAGGGCGCAGCGAAAGAGCUCAUGCAACUGUUUACCAAAAACACAGGUCUCUGCUAAGUCGUAAGACGAUGUAUAGGGGCUGACCCCUGCCCAGUGCUAGAAGGUUACGAGGAGAGGUUAACGCUUUGAAUCUAAGCCCUAGUGAACGGCGGCCGUAACUAUAACGGUCCUAAGGUAGCGAAAUUCCUUGUCGGGUAAGUUCCGACCCGCACGAAUGGGGUAAUGAUGUGAGUACUGUCUCAAGCUUAGACUCGAUGAAAUUGCAUUAUCGGUAAAAAUGCCGAUUAAUCGUGGAAAGACGAAAAGACCCCGUGCAGCUUUACUAUAGCUUGGCAUUGAGUCGAGAUCUGUUUUGUGUAGGAUAGGUGGGAGACUUUGAAGUUUCGGCGCCAGCCGGGAUGGAGUCAUCCUUGAAAUACCACCCUGAACAUAUUUUGCCUCUAACCAUCAUCCAUUAUCUGGAUGUGGGACAUUGCUUGGUGGGUAGUUUAACUGGGGCGGUUGCCUCCUAAAUUGUAGCGGAGGCGCGCAAUGGUUCUCUAGCAUCGGAUGGAAAUCGAUGUGAUAGUGUAUUCGCUAAAGAGAGCUUGACUGCAAGACCUACAAGUCGAGCAGGUGCGAAAGCAGGUGAAAGUGAUCCGGUAUCUCAACGUGGGUUGGAUAUCGCUCAACGGAUAAAAGUUACGCCGGGGAUAACAGGCUUAUAGCUUCCAAGAGUUCAUAUCGACGAAGCUGUUUGGCACCUCGAUGUCGGCUCGUCGCAUCCUGGGGGUGGAGAAGCUCCCAAGGGUAUGGCUGUUCGCCAUUUAAAGCGGUACGCGAGCUGGGUUCAGAACGUCGUGAGACAGUAGUAGUUAUCCUUUUCGUCCAUAAUUUGUCUAAUAUUAGGCAAAAAGACCUUGCUGUCUAUAAAUUUGGCUAUUUGCUGGAAACUCUGGCUAAUCCUCGACUAUCAGGAGAAUAGAGGAUUGAAGAAUCUCACACUACAUGUUAUGAUAAAUACAUAAUCUGUGACAAAGUGCUGAGUGCAGACAAUCAGCAGGGAAGGUCUAUAAAAUGCUUAAUCCUUACUAUAUUGCGGGUUUUGUUGAUGGAGAAGGAAGUUUUCAUGUGGCGAUCUAUAAAGAUAUCCAUAUGAAACACGGAAUAAAAAUUAUUCCGGAAUUCCAUGUCAGUCAACGAAACAGCAGUCAAUGGAUUCUUAAAGAAUUGCAGGAUUAUUUUUCCUGCGGUUAUAUUAAAGCGAAUCAUGCUACUAAAGCCAAUGAUCAAAAUUUGGUUUAUGUAGUCAGAAAUCGAGAAGAUUUGCUUAAUAAAAUCAUACCUUUCUUUGAGCAGUAUCCAUUAUUGACCGAAAAAGCAGAAGCUUUUAAAGCUUUUGCCAAAAUUGUUGAAUGGUUAUCGCAAGAUAAACACUCUAAAUUAUCAGGUGUAAAAGAUAUUUUAAGAGUCGCCUAUUCAAUGAAUAGAAACGGUCAGUAUAGAAGGAAUAAAAUCGUUUUAUAGAAACCCUCAGAGACUACAUGCCGAAGUCGCCGAUCAGGCGAUAAGAUAUAGUCCGAACUCUAUGGCGACAUAGAGAAUUCUAAUGAAAGUUAGGAUCUUAUAAGUUUUUAAAACUUAUCUGUAACAUGUUGUCGGUCUCCUAUCCGCUACGGGCGGUUGAAUCUUGAGUAGGCCCUUCCCUAGUACGAGAGGACCGGGAAGGACGAACCUCUAGUGGGCCGGUUGUGAUACCAAUCGCAUUGCCGGGUAGCUAUGUUCGGUUUGGAUAAACGCUGAAAGCAUCUAAGCGUGAAGCCGUCUACAAGAUGAGGAUUCGUUAUAGACCCCUGCGAGACUAGCAGGUUGAUAGGUUGCAGGUGUAAGCUUAGUAAUAAGUUGAGCCGAGCAAUACUAAUUGGUCGAGUAACCAC
rnacentral:rRNA from 1 species